UCAGUCGGCCGGACGGCCGCUCCGGCAGGUGCCGAAAGGCCGCCGGGGAGGAAAGUCCGGGCUCCAUCGACAUGCGGUGCCGGAUAACGUCCGGCGGGGGCGACCCCAGGGACAGUGCCACAGAGAACGAACCGCUUCCUCCCGAAAGGGAGGCGAGUAAGGGUGAAAAGGUGCGGUAAGAGCGCACCGCGGGGCCGGCAACGGAACCGGCAUGGUAAACCCCACCGGGAGCAAAACCGAAUAGGGACGGCCACGCGGAGACAAUCGCCUUUGGCGAUGACGUCCGCGGGAGCGAUGUCAGGCUCGCCGUCCGGGUAGGUUGCCCGAGGUCUCGCGCAAGCGCGAUCCCAGAGGAAUGGCCGUCACGUAUCGUCAUGCGCAAGCAUCACGGUGCCCUACAGAACCCGGCUUACAGGCCGGCUGAUAUG
rfam:Bradyrhizobium sp. BTAi1, complete genome.